CCCCAGACUCCUACGGGAGGCAGCAGUGGGGAAUAUUGCGCAAUGGGGGAAACCCUGACGCAGCAACGCCGCGUGCGGGAUGAAGGCUUUCGGGUUGUAAACCGCUUUCAGCAGGGAAGAUAAUGACGGUACCUGCAGAAGAAGCCCCGGCUAACUACGUGCCAGCAGCCGCGGUAAUACGUAGGGGGCAAGCGUUAUCCGGAUUUACUGGGUGUAAAGGGGGCGCAGACGGCGAUGCAAGCCAGGAGUGAAAGCCCGGGGCCCAACCCCGGGACUGCUCUUGGAACUGCGUGGCUGGAGUGCAGGAGGGGCAGGCGGAAUUCCUGGUGUAGCGGUGAAAUGCGUAGAUAUCAGGAGGAACACCGGUGGCGAAGGCGGCCUGCUGGACUGCAACUGACGUUGAGGCCCGAAAGCGUGGGGAGCAAACAGGAUUAGAUACCCUCGUA
rnacentral:rRNA from 1 species